rnacentral:piRNA from 1 species
UUUCCCAUAGAGGCCUCAACUUUUCCCACA